GUUUGGUCCCGCAUUGCCUUCCAGUAUAGAUUUUAGAUAACUGUGUUGUAAUGCAUCUUAAAAAGUGUUAUUGUAUUGUCUUUGUAAGUUAUUAAUUUUACCAAUGUGACGUAUAUUGGUACCGUCAUCGUGCUACGAUAAUUUUUUAUUUUCUUGUCUUUCGUUUUUACUUUUUGUGCUUUGUCUAUAUGUUUCUUUUUUUCUUAGUUAACAUAAUUGUUUGUUUACAUAGUGACUAAAAUUAUAACACAAUGUCGACUGCUAAAUCACUUUUUUUGACAUUUUGACUUGUCAAGUCUGUUUUUUUUUUUCUUGUUCACGCAAUUUUGUCAAUAUGAUGGAAUUUUUUGCGACUGUCGUACACGUGAGAUAGUUAGCUAACUU
rnacentral:lncRNA from 1 species